AUUGAACGCUGGCGGCAGGCCUAACACAUGCAAGUCGAGCGGAUGAGAGGAGCUUGCUCCUCGAUUCAGCGGCGGACGGGUGAGUAAUGCCUAGGAAUCUGCCUAGUAGUGGGGGACAACGUUCCGAAAGGAACGCUAAUACCGCAUACGUCCUACGGGAGAAAGUGGGGGAUCUUCGGACCUCACGCUAUUAGAUGAGCCUAGGUCGGAUUAGCUAGUUGGUAGGGUAAAGGCCUACCAAGGCGACGAUCCGUAACUGGUCUGAGAGGAUGAUCAGUCAAACUGGAACUGAGACACGGUCAAGACUCCAACGGGAGGCAGCAGUGGGGAAUAUUGGACAAUGGGCGAAAGCCUGAUCCAGCCAUGCCGCGUGUGUGAAGAAGGCCUUCGGGUCGUAAAGCACUUUAAGUUGGGAGGAAGGGCUCAUAGCGAAUACCUGUGAGUUUUGACGUUACCAACAGAAUAAGCACCGGCUAACUUCGUGCCAGCCGCCGCAGUAACAC
rnacentral:rRNA from 1 species